rnacentral:rRNA from 1 species
UUAAAGUUGUUGCAGUUAAAAAGCUCGUAGUUGAACCUUGGGCCUGGCUGGCCGGUCCGCCUCACCGCGUGUACUGGUCCGGCCGGGCCUUUCCUUCUGGGGAGCCGCAUGCCCUUCACUGGGCGUGUCGGGGAACCAGGACUUUUACUUUGAAAAAAUUAGAGUGUUCAAAGCAGGCCUUUGCUCGAAUACAUUAGCAUGGAAUAAUA